rnacentral:snRNA from 1 species
GGAUGUGAGAGUGAUGUGGCUGAGACAUCUGUCACACCAUUGAUCACCAGGGUUGAUUUGGCUGAUCUGGCUGGCGAGGCGGGUGUCCCCUUCCUCCCUCAAUGAUCAAUGUGCAUCCCUCCUGAAGCUGCGUGCUCAGUCCAAGAGGACGACCACCCCCAACAGGGGAGGAUCAUUCCUCGGUCAAGGGUAUACAAGUAGCUGCACUCCCCUGCUAGAACCUCCAAACAAGCUCUCAAAAUAAUCCUUUCUUCUCUUUAAAGUUAGCUUAUCUUGCACAUCGGUUAUGGUAAUGGAAAACUGCUGAAAUACUUGUUGCUAGUAUC